CUGCGUGUGUGGAGUCAGAGGACAACUCUGGGAGUUGCUUUUCAUCUUUCACCUUGCUGAGUCUCUCGUUUCUGUUGCUCUACUGGUUCCAAAGGUCAAACUCUGGUCUUCAGGCUUGUGCAUCGAAUGCCUGUCUGACCCAUCUAUGGCCUUAUUUGUUUUGUAAGACAGUCUCAGUCUUGCCUCUAGGCUGACCUUGAACACACUAGUCUCAAGGUCAUAGGGCUGGAUCUUCCUGCGCCAGUCUCCUGAAUUGGAUUACAGGUUCCACAUGCAGGUUCAUCACCUCAUUCUCUAAACCCAAGUCAUGGUGCCUGGCUUUCCCCAUGGAUGGAUGUGCUGUCCAGGUGCUGUUGAUUGACGUGAGGCAUCCCUUCACAUUACAUCAUCUUGUGUUUGGCCUUUAACCUGAGGUAACUGGGGAGGAGUCUAGCCUGAAGGUCGGAAGCUUGGAACUUUGCCUACGUGACUAUUAAACCAUGCUUCUCUUGUCGGGGCUGAGGGGUUGGUAACUUAGACAGGAGCCACAGUUCCAGGAGACAUGAGAGAGAGAACGCCUUCUGUCCCAUGUAGGUGAAUUAUCACUACCAGGUCCCGGGGUUCCACACCUCAGCUCUACUGGAGAUCAGACUGUCUGUGUAUAGCCCAACGCCCCACAAUACCUGUGUGUAUAUCUGUGCACGGUGUGCAUGCCUGGCUCUGAGAGGCCAGAAGAGGGUGCUGGAGCUCCUGGGACUGGAGUUCUAGAAAGUGGAAAACCCUUGUGCUCUGGCCUGGUAACUCCUUGCUUGUACCCAGAUCCCCAAAGGAACUUCGGAGUGCUCCUCUCUUGCCUUCUCAUCUCAUUUUUUGGACAUUAAGUAUUGCUUUGUAGCCCAGGCUGCUUUUGAAUCUCCUCAUUUCUCAAUGCUGGGAUUAAAGGUGGGCUUUAGCC